rnacentral:rRNA from 1 species
CACGUAGGGUGCGAGCGUUUGUCCGGAAUUAUUGGGCGUAAAGGGCUCGUAGGCGGUUUGUCGCGUCGGGAGUGAAAACACUGGGCUUAACCGAGUGCUUGCUUUCGAUACGGGCAGGACUUGAGGCAUUCAGGGGAGAACGGAAUUCCUGGUGUAGCGGUGAAAUGCGCAGAUAUCAGGAGGAACACCGGUGGCGAAGGCGGUUCUCUGGGAAUGUUCUGACGCUGAGGAGCGAAAGUGUGGGGAGCGAACAGG